AUUGAACGCUGCGCGGCAUGCCUUACACAUGCAAGUCGAACGGCAGCACGGAGCUUGCUCUGGUGGCGAGUGGCGAACGGGUGAGUAAUAUAUCGGAACGUACCCUAGAGUGGGGGAUAACGUAGCGAAAGUUACGCUAAUCCCGCAUNCGAUCUAAGGAUGAAAGUGGGGGAUCGCAAGACCUCAUGCUCGUGGAGCGGCCGAUAUCUGAUUAGCUAGUUGGUAGGGUAAAAGCCUACCAAGGCAUCGAUCAGUAGCUGGUCUGAGAGGACGACCAGCCACACUGGAACUGAGACACGGUCCAGACUCCUACGGUAGGCAGCAGUGGGGAAUUUUGGACAAUGGGCNAAAGCCUGAUCCAGCAAUNCCGCGUGAG
rnacentral:rRNA from 1 species